rnacentral:rRNA from 1 species
UACGUAGGGGGCAAGCGUUGUCCGGAUUUAUUGGGCGUAAAGAGCUCGUAGGCGGCUCGGUAAGUCGGAUGUGAAACCUCCAGGCUCAACCUGGAGACGCCAUCUGAUACUGCCGUGGCUUGAGUCCGGUAGAGGAGCAGGGAAUUCCUGGUGUAGCGGUGAAAUGCGCAGAUAUCUGGAGGAACACCGGUGGCGAAGGCGGCAUCCUGGACCAAUUCUGACGCUGAGGAGCGAAAGCCAGGGGAGCAAACGGG